GAUGAACGCUAGCGGCAGGCCUAACACAUGCAAGUCGAGGGGUAGAAGUUUUCGGACUUUGAGACCGGCGCACGGGUGCGUAACGCGUAUGCAAUCUGCCUUGUACUGAGGGAUAGCCCAGAGAAAUUUGGAUUAACACCUCAUAGUAUUUUAGUGUGGCAUCACAUUAUUAUUAAAGGUUACUGUACAAGAUGAGCAUGCGUCCCAUUAGCUAGUUGGUAUGGUAACGGCAUACCAAGGCUACGAUGGGUAGGGGUCCUGAGAGGGAGAUCCCCCACACUGGUACUGAGACACGGACCAGACUCGUACGGGAGGCAGCAGUGAGGAAUAUUGGUCAAUGGGCACAAGCCUGAACCAGCCAUGCCGCGUGCAGGAUGAAGCAUCGAUGGUGUGUAAACUGCUUUUGUACGGGAAGAAACACUCCCUCGUGAGGAAGCUUGACGGUACCGUAAGAAUAAGGAUCGGCUAACUCCGUGCCAGCAGCCGCGGUAAUAC
rnacentral:rRNA from 1 species